GAGGCGAACCGGGGGAACUGAAACAUCUAAGUACCCCGAGGAAAAGAAAUCAACCGAGAUUCCCCCAGUAGCGGCGAGCGAACGGGGAGCAGCCCAGAGUCUGAAUCAGUGUGUGUGUUAGUGGAAGCGUCUGGAAAGGCGCGCGAUACAGGGUGACAGCCCCGUACACAAAAAUGCACAUAUUGUGAGCUCGAUGAGUAGGGCGGGACACGUGGUAUCCUGUCUGAAUAUGGGGGGACCAUCCUCCAAGGCUAAAUACUCCUGACUGACCGAUAGUGAACCAGUACCGUGAGGGAAAGGCGAAAAGAACCCCGGCGAGGGGAGUGAAAAAGAACCUGAAACCGUGUACGUACAAGCAGUGGGAGCCUCUUUUAUGGGGUGACUGCGUACCUUUUGUAUAAUGGGUCAGCGACUUAUAUUCUGUAGCAAGGUUAACCGAAUAGGGGAGCCGAAGGGAAACCGAGUCUUAACUGGGCGUUAAGUUGCAGGGUAUAGACCCGAAACCCGGUGAUCUAGCCAUGGGCAGGUUGAAGGUUGGGUAACACUAACUGGAGGACCGAACCGACUAAUGUUGAAAAAUUAGCGGAUGACUUGUGGCUGGGGGUGAAAGGCCAAUCAAACCGGGAGAUAGCUGGUUCUCCCCGAAAGCUAUUUAGGUAGCGCCUCGUGAAUUCAUCUCCGGGGGUAGAGCACUGUUUCGGCAAGGGGGUCAUCCCGACUUACCAACCCGAUGCAAACUGCGAAUACCGGAGAAUGUUAUCACGGGAGACACACGGCGGGUGCUAACGUCCGUCGUGAAGAGGGAAACAACCCAGACCGCCAGCUAAGGUCCCAAAGUCAUGGUUAAGUGGGAAACGAUGUGGGAAGGCCCAGACAGCCAGGAUGUUGGCUUAGAAGCAGCCAUCAUUUAAAGAAAGCGUAAUAGCUCACUGGUCGAGUCGGCCUGCGCGGAAGAUGUAACGGGGCUAAACCAUGCACCGAAGCUGCGGCAGCGACGCUUAUGCGUUGUUGGGUAGGGGAGCGUUCUGUAAGCCUGUGAAGGUGUGCUGUGAGGCAUGCUGGAGGUAUCAGAAGUGCGAAUGCUGACAUAAGUAACGAUAAAGCGGGUGAAAAGCCCGCUCGCCGGAAGACCAAGGGUUCCUGUCCAACGUUAAUCGGGGCAGGGUGAGUCGACCCCUAAGGCGAGGCCGAAAGGCGUAGUCGAUGGGAAACAGGUUAAUAUUCCUGUACUUGGUGUUACUGCGAAGGGGGGACGGAGAAGGCUAUGUUGGUCGGGCGACGGUUGUCCCGGUUUAAGCGUGUAGGCUGGUUUUCCAGGCAAAUCCGGAAAAUCAAGGCUGAGGCGUGAUGACGAGGCACUACGGUGCUGAAGCAACAAAUGCCCUGCUUCCAGGAAAAGCCUCUAAGCAUCAGGUAACAUCAAAUCGUACCCCAAACCGACACAGGUGGUCAGGUAGAGAAUACCAAGGCGCUUGAGAGAACUCGGGUGAAGGAACUAGGCAAAAUGGUGCCGUAACUUCGGGAGAAGGCACGCUGAUAUGUAGGUGAAGUCCCUCGCGGAUGGAGCUGAAAUCAGUCGAAGAUACCAGCUGGCUGCAACUGUUUAUUAAAAACACAGCACUGUGCAAACACGAAAGUGGACGUAUACGGUGUGACGCCUGCCCGGUGCCGGAAGGUUAAUUGAUGGGGUCAGCGCAAGCGAAGCUCUUGAUCGAAGCCCCGGUAAACGGCGGCCGUAACUAUAACGGUCCUAAGGUAGCGAAAUUCCUUGUCGGGUAAGUUCCGACCUGCACGAAUGGCGUAAUGAUGGCCAGGCUGUCUCCACCCGAGACUCAGUGAAAUUGAACUCGCUGUGAAGAUGCAGUGUACCCGCGGCAAGACGGAAAGACCCCGUGAACCUUUACUAUAGCUUGACACUGAACAUUGAGCCUUGAUGUGUAGGAUAGGUGGGAGGCUUUGAAGUGUGGACGCCAGUCUGCAUGGAGCCGACCUUGAAAUACCACCCUUUAAUGUUUGAUGUUCUAACGUUGACCCGUAAUCCGGGUUGCGGACAGUGUCUGGUGGGUAGUUUGACUGGGGCGGUCUCCUCCUAAAGAGUAACGGAGGAGCACGAAGGUUGGCUAAUCCUGGUCGGACAUCAGGAGGUUAGUGCAAUGGCAUAAGCCAGCUUGACUGCGAGCGUGACGGCGCGAGCAGGUGCGAAAGCAGGUCAUAGUGAUCCGGUGGUUCUGAAUGGAAGGGCCAUCGCUCAACGGAUAAAAGGUACUCCGGGGAUAACAGGCUGAUACCGCCCAAGAGUUCAUAUCGACGGCGGUGUUUGGCACCUCGAUGUCGGCUCAUCACAUCCUGGGGCUGAAGUAGGUCCCAAGGGUAUGGCUGUUCGCCAUUUAAAGUGGUACGCGAGCUGGGUUUAGAACGUCGUGAGACAGUUCGGUCCCUAUCUGCCGUGGGCGCUGGAGAACUGAGGGGGGCUGCUCCUAGUACGAGAGGACCGGAGUGGACGCAUCACUGGUGUUCGGGUUGUCAUGCCAAUGGCACUGCCCGGUAGCUAAAUGCGGAAGAGAUAAGUGCUGAAAGCAUCUAAGCACGAAACUUGCCCCGAGAUGAGUUCUCCCUGACCCUUUAAGGGUCCUGAAGGAACGUUGAAGACGACGACGUUGAUAGGCCGGGUGUGUAAGCGCAGCGAUGCGUUGAGCUAACCGGUACUAAUGAACCGUGAGGCUUAACCUU
rnacentral:rRNA from 1 species